rnacentral:lncRNA from 1 species
UGGUUUUAAGCUUAAUUUUGGGGACAAGAAGUGUGUGAUAUUUGAUCCAAAGGUUUAAUAAAUCUACCAAGUUAAGAGGAGAGGAAAAAACUUUUCGUUUGAUCCAAUAGAGGGGAAGUCGGCUGCCUAUCCGAGCCAAGAGAUGACAACAAAUUAUGGCAUAAAAGACUCGGGCAUUGUCAUUAUAAGGCACUCUUGCACAUGGUGAAUAAAGAU